rnacentral:rRNA from 1 species
UACGAAGGGGGCUGGCGUUGCUCGGAAUUACUGGGCGUAAAGCGCACGUAGGCGGAUCUUAAAGUCAGGGGUGAAAUCCUGGAGCUCAACUCCAGAACUGCCUUUGAUACUGAGGACCUUGAGUUCGGGAGAGGUGAGUGGAACUGCGAGUGUAGAGGUGAAAUUCGUAGAUAUUCGCAAGAACACCAGUGGCGAAGGCGGCUCACUGGCCCGAUACUGACGCUGAGGUGCGAAAGCGUGGGGAGCAAACAGG